CGUCUUUUCCCAUGGUGUCUAGCCGAAGUUGGUGAUGUCUGUCUCUCGACCCUGUCCAAGCACUGGCGUUGCCGCAUCGGCAUCCUGCUCCUACAUCUUUGUCGCCCGCACGCCCUGGUCUCCAGCAUCCGAACGCUGCCGUCCCUGCUGCGGACGGGCUCGGUCACGCCGCUAGACGUGCGUGCGCCUCAACCUCACCGACGCUCGCCGUGGAACCUUGCUCGUUGUACUCGCUGUCGUUCCCCGUCCAUGCCGUGAGCUACAGCGUGCUCGUCGUUGCCGCCUCCUCGUCGGCCACGUUCAACCCGGCAGCUCCUUCGUGCCAUCGAUUUCCACGACGCACAACCUCUCCACCAACCUCGUCGUGCUUGCGGUGUCAUCGGGAAGCCGUUAGCCGCCUGCCUUGCCGGUUUGUCGUCGAAUUCUUUUCAGUUGGAAAAUGAUAGCCGAGUGCCUAGUUUAUUUAGUGUCAUUUUCUCCUCCAGUUCCUCACGCCCAGCAAGCCAUCGUGCUCGACGCGCUUCCUUUAUCCGAACUCGCGCAAUUCUCUCGCUUCGUCGUCAUUCGCAGGUAGUGUAAGUAUGAUUAUUUAUUCCAGAUGUAUACAUAGUUGCGAGAGUGUUCGGGGGAAAUUGUUUUGUGAGUGUUUACGGCCGUUUUGUGACUCGCGCCAUCGGAUCAGACCAUGUGAUUUUGUAUGUGUGUCACAGUCGUCUGGUUAGUGGACAAAAGGAAUUAAAUGGUGAAACAAUUAAAGUUCCUGGUAAAAAUAAUCUUAGGAUUUUUGUAGCAAAUAGAUAUUUUCUUUGGUGAAUAGAAAAUGCUUUAAGUGUACUUAUAUGAAUUUUAGUGAUGAAAAUAGAGCACUAAAAAUUGUGGGAAAAUUUGUAUAAGCUUGUCUUGGACAUAUUAUCGAUCUCUUGGGUGAAGUUGAAGUUGUUUGGACAUGGUUUGCUUAGCAAACUAAUUAUUGCUCAAAAUAGAAGGAAGGAUUUCAUCCUUGGUAAUUAGGGCAUAUAGUGUCUUAAUGAUGAGAUGAUGUUACUUAUUGAGUUUGUGGUGUUUGGGUGAAGUCUUAGAUGAAUUGAUUCCCUGGUGGUUGGUAGUUUUAAAGAUACCUUGGUAGACCUCUAAUGUUUUGGCUAGUUUUGUGCACCCUGUAGAAAAGUGUACUCAGGAUGGGUUGUUUAUUACCUUCUUUAUGAAAUGCAUUUCCAUACCAUAGCAAACAUUCAUCUACAUGUAAUUGACUUGUAGAACACCCAGAAGAAGUGGUGUCUGAAGAAGGAGUUCACUUCAGUGCCUGCUGAUCCAGUGGUGGAGUUUCAUCUAACUGCUUACCUGAUUAGAAGGGUUUUAGAUCUUCUCCUGCAAAAAGGCAAGCCCCAGUGCAUUUGCCAUCUUCCUUGUAUUACAAUAUUUUAUCACUUAUAUGUUGCAUUAGGUGAUAGGAGUUGAAUGAUUAAACACUUGAUGCAUUACCAUCCUUCAAAGAUUGAUUAUCAUACCUUGUUACCUGUUUUAUAAAAGCUAGUGAUGCUUAGUCCUGCUUAUAGAUUAAGAAAAAUGUUUUUGAUCUAUGACUCAUGAUUUUUAAAGAAGAAAAAGGGCUUGGAAUGAUGGAGGCAUCCUCCGCGGGGAUGAAUCCAUCAUUCAAGCAAGGUACCUCUGCUAGGUACCAAAUUUUGAGAAUUGCUUAAAAUGAGACCAUACGUCGAGCUGGAGAGGUCGCCCGUCUGUGUCGAUUAAGGAACGUACCGAUUGUAGGCCUGUUAAUCUAGGACCUUUUAGCUGGCCACAUACCUCGUCAUGGGUAAGCCUGAACCCGGCUACUCCAUAUGUGAAAAGACAAUCGCGCACUGGGAGUGGAGAGAUGGCGGGAGUAGCGUGUACCCACUUGACACGUGGCUGGAUGGUGGAGUACCGUACUCUUGGGUGGCGCGGACCGGUUCACGUAGUGGAGGACCCGUGGGAAUGGUAGACAUAUGCAAGGGUUAAGUGCUACAUAUGUCGUGUGGUUGGAGAUCCCCAGCUGGGUAUUAAUCGAUUCGAAUCGCCGUUACUUCUCGGUCAUGAAGACUAGAUCACUACUCUACAUCGUAGAUAACAAGUAUAACAAAGUUUUGGUUAAAAGAAAUCUAGUGUAGGCCAAGUGAAUGAUCUAGAUUAGGAGAAUCUAGAGAUAGAUUAGUAAAUUCAGGUAAUCACUUAACUUGUAAAAUAAAACUUGGCUUAAGGAUCCAUUAUUAGUAAGCUUUUAUGCAAAAAAAGAGUCCUUGGUAAUUGAUAACCUUUUCCCUUGAUUCCCCAAAAGCUAGCAUGCCCUUGAGAGUCUUUUUCUUAGUCGGGUAAGACUUGCUGAGUAAUUCCCUACUCAGGGUUUUAUUCCCUAUGUUGUUGCAGGAAAGAAUUUGAUGACUUGGGCUUUAUUAGUUGCUCCUUAUGGAGGUCUUGAAGCUUAGAUUAUUUAUGUGAAUCUUUUAUUGAAAGGCUUCACCUUUCCAAGUAUUGUAGUUAAGUUAUGCACUCUAAAGACUAUCAGGACUUGUAAUAAUUUUGAUCCCUUUUAUGUUGUAAGACUUGAGUUCUAGAAUGUAAAGUGUAUUUUAUAAAAGUCUUCCGCUCUAUCUCCAAUGUGUGUAUCAAAUGUGAUUACUAUAAUAUGCCUGUUAUGUGGGAGAUUCUUG
rnacentral:lncRNA from 1 species